UAUGGUAAUUGUGUGCCGCCGCGGUAAUACGUAGGCGGCAAGCGUUGUCCGGAAUUAUUGGGCGUAAAGGGAGCGCAGGCGGGAAACUAAGCGGAUCUUAAAAGUGCGGGGCUCAACCCCGUGAUGGGGUCCGAACUGGUUUUCUUGAGUGCAGGAGAGGAAAGCGGAAUUCCCAGUGUAGCGGUGAAAUGCGUAGAUAUUGGGAAGAACACCAGUGGCGAAGGCGGCUUUCUGGACUGUAACUGACGCUGAGGCUCGAAAGCUAGGGUAGCGAACGGG
rnacentral:rRNA from 1 species